ACAUACGACCAUAGAUAACAGAGAAUUCGGGGUCCCGUCUGCUCCCCCAUAGACAAGGUUAAUCGGCAGAUUAGUAGUGGGUCGGUGACGACCAGCGAACACCGGCUGUUGUAUGUU
rnacentral:rRNA from 1 species